CAGGUUCUGCAUGCAUUCUGAGCUCCCGGGCGUCUUCCUCUGGUGGAGUGGGGAUGGGAACGUGGAAGGGCCGUCUCUGCGGAGGACAGUACAUCCCACCUGACUCAGGGGCUCAGCAUAGACUUAACUGAAUGAAUAAGUGACCGGAUGCCUCGUCAUCCCCUGCAGGGGAGAAACUGAGGCUGUGGAGUUGGAAUAAGCAGGGGCUUCUGGCAGGAGGAGCUGGUUUGUACGGAUGCUGGCAGGGGGGUUGUGGGCAGAGGAGUUUAAAUUGGCAGCUGUGGCUGCUGGGACAGGGGGCUUUGAACCCUUCUCCAGGGAGGUGGACUGAGCAGAUGUGGGGAUUCUAGAGGAAGCCAUGGGGUGUGGUCAUGUCCUUCUAUGUCCUCCUGUCCAUACCCCUGGAGCUGGGGGCCUGGGGGGUCCAGCAGGAGGAGAUGACCCAGCAGCUCCAGCCGGAUGGGAUGCCAGAUGGCAGAGGGGCACCACCCCUCCUCUGGCCAAGCUGCGUCUUCCAGGUCACCAGAGGCAACCUUGUCCCAGAUGAAAACCUGUGUGUAAAUAACCCGGCAGUAACUUAGGGGUACCGCCAGGCCGGGGAAGCUGCCCGCUCACCAUGCCCCUGCCC
rnacentral:sRNA from 1 species